rnacentral:rRNA from 1 species
AUAGAGACUCAGAGCUGCAUAUCAAUAAGCGGAGGAAAAGAAACUAACAAGGAUUCCCUUAGUAACGGCGAGUGAAGCGGGAAGAGCUCAAAUUUGAAAUCUUCAAGGUUCUACCUUGACGAAUUGUAGUUUAUAGAAGUGUUUUCUGUUAGUAGGAGUGGCAAAAGUUCUUUGGAAUAGGACAUCAUAGAGGGUGAGAAUCCCGUAUUUGGUCAUUCCUCCUAGCUUUGUGAUACACUUUCAACGAGUCGGAUUGUUUGGGAAUGCAGUCCAAAAUGGGUGGUAAAUUUCAUCUAAAGCUAAAUAUUGGCGAGAGACCGAUAGCGAACAAGUACCGUGAGGGAAAGAUGAAAAGAACUUUGAAAAGAGAGUUAAACAGUACGUGAAAUUGUCAAAAGGGAAGCGUUUGACACCAGUGUUGUUUUUCCGAAAAUCAAUUACGAAUGUUUUGUUUUUAAGAAGUUAUGACUUCAUCGGCUUGCUUCUUUCUUUACGAAACUUUCUUAAUGCACUUUUCGGUUAACAAGUCAAUAUCAAUUUCUUUUGUUGUAAAAGGGUACGAGGAAGGUGGCUUUCUUUUCGGAGAAAGUGUUUAUAGCCUUGUACCUCUGCAAUCGGAGAGAUUGAGGUCUGCAGCGUAGAUCCUUCGGGGUUAGAUACAUUUGUGCUAAGUUAUAGCUUUUCAUAGACAACUUGUUGACUAUGUUUAGUCUUGUAGCUUACUCGCUUAUGCUAUUUUACCUACGCUUAGGAUGUUGAUAUGCAUGACUGAUAU